rnacentral:ncRNA from 1 species
AAACAGGCGUUGAUGGGAAGAGUAGGCAAAAAAGACCCUCGCAGAGAGCCGGAAAAGGUGAAAGCCGGCAGGGAACUCUAUGCUGAACAUGGCCCCGGAGCCUUCCAUCUGAACUGUGAUUAGGGUGGAACGGAUUUGGACACGUUAAAGUCCUCGAGAGAUGCCCGCACAGAGUUGCAGCGAGGCAGACAGGGUGGUACCGCGAGAACAUCAGCUCGCCCCUUCU